rnacentral:sRNA from 1 species
UCCUCUCCUACGUCCUAAAUCGGGUGCCAAGCAAAUGAGGGAAGGCGGUGACGGGACGCGUUGACCCCCCUGGCUAGCCUCGCCGAAUCCGCUCGUUCCCGCGUUAGCAUGACUCCGAGCAAGCGAUGCCUUUUGGUAGAGCGAGUGAUAGGGGCAGCGGCAGCAGGGCCUUCCUUCACCGUGCUAGGGAUGAGUGGUGAGCUACCGGAUUUCGAUUCAACUUAGAGUAUCUCUUUUACAGUUUCUUAUUCGAAUUUCCUUUUUCAGAGUUUUGGUUGUUUCUUCCACGGCUCAAGAUUGUUUGUGUUCUCUAGAUUGAAUUUUCACUGAAAAACUUUGAACGCUAGGAGACCAGGAGAGGAUUCACACUCUUCCGUAGUGGAUCAGAGAUGAGAGGAGGAGCAUGUCGUCCCAUCUACUCCAUGCCAUCCCCUCUCACAAUAGAUGGAGCAUGUCUUACAUGGCUUGGGAGGACGAGCUCCAGAAAUAUAUUAUAUAUGUUCUUCUUUCUUAUCUCUCUUUAAUCGAUUCGGUUUUAACAUGGCAAUUGAUCUGUUGGCACUAGUAUCGAUCAAUUUGUAUCUUUUUUUUUUGUCUAAUAUCUAUCAAUUUUUAUCCCUUUUUAUCUGAUAUCUGAGUUAGUUUC